CAUGAAGCUGGAAUCGCUAGUAAUCGCGGAUCAGAAUGCCGCGGUGAAUACGUUCCCGGGUCUUGUACACACCGCCCGUCACACCAUGGGAGUCGGAAAUGCCCGAAGUCUGUGACCCAACCAUUAAGGAGGGAGCAGCCGAAGGCAGGUCGGAUGACUGGGGUGAAGUCGUAACAAGGUAAC
rnacentral:rRNA from 1 species